rnacentral:misc_RNA from 1 species
GUGCGCCCCAGCCAUGCUAUUUGGCUAAACCUUCCUUCGACGGGAACCAAGUGCGUCUCUGAGGAAAUUCAGAGCAACGUCGUUGUUUUGGCUGAUUAUGUUGUAAUCUCUGAAAAUUACACCCACACACCCACCAUUUCCGUCAAGGUAACAUCACCUUACGGGAACAACCUCCACCAAAAGGAGAAUCAAACGAGUGGGCAGUUUGCAUUCACCACAGCAGAGGGUGGCAACCAUCUGGCUUGCUUUUGGAUUGAUGGCCAUCAUCAGGGUGGUGGUGAUGUUAGCUUAAAUCUAGAAUGGAGAACUGGAAUUUCAGCUAAGGAUUGGGAGUCAGUUGCAAAAAAGGAAAAAA